AAUAAGUAAAGCCCUCAUUAUUCAAUUGUCUACACUAUAUUAAGUUUUAAUACUUAUUUGUAUAAUUUUUCAUUUUAGUUUUUUGACAUUUGUUAAGACCAAUUGUUGUUUUUGUAGAACUGCCACCACCUUGUAUGAAUUCGCCUUGGCUAGGUUAAUUGGAUUGCAAGACAUGCAAGAAUUUUUGAUUAUUUAAUUUUUACAUUUAAAAAAAAUAAAAAAUGUAUCAUAUUUUGUUCAAUAAAAGAGCUAUAAUAAUUAAAUUUUACCAUCCGGCAUCUCAUAAAAACAAUAAUUUUCCGUAACCAAUGUGACAUAUAAACAAUGCUAUGGAUUCAGAUAUCAAACAUAUACUUUUUGAUACAUUUUCAUCUGAUGAUGGGACAUUUAAAAUAAAUAGCAAAAUCGUGCAUAACUUAUCAACACAUUUUGUGUUCGAAUAUAAGUGGAAUGAGAUGGAAAACUUAAUGAAAAUGUUCGUUUUAUUUUUUGAAAGCUUAUUUAUAUAUGGAGAUCGAUUUGUACAACCCUUGAAUGAAAAUCCAUUACAAAUUAUAUAUAAUAACUCACUGAAUACUACAAAUUUUAUUACUCUAACAACAUACAUAUUAAAACAACCAACAAUUAUAAAAUAUGGUAUCAUUUUAGAUAACAUAUUAAGCUGUGUCAAAAAAUGUACAAAGUAUAGUAUUGAUAAUCAUAUAUUUUCUCAUAAUGUUGAAAUUCUCAAUGUAAACAGGAAAAAAAUGUAUGCUAUAAUGGAGCGCAUUUUUGUUCUUCCUUGUUCAGAUAUAGAAAAUGCCAUAGAUAGAAUUAUAACGAAUGUUGGCUUCGAAAUUUUGGGAUACGCUUUUUGUGAACCUCCUAUUAGUAUUUAUUUCGAUAAGUGUACCGUUUUAGGAGAUAUUAUAUGUAAUAAAAUUGAAAACUCUGCCAAAUCUGUUACUAAAUUCUUUAUUCCAUCAAUAUUGUUGGUAUCUAGCUCAAAGCUUGGAAUGCGUCUCUAUGAGAAGUGUCUCAAAAACCAGCAAUUUUAUUCUAGCUUAAAUAUAUUUUUUAAAAACUAUUUAAGGGAUUUAGAAAGUUUAAAUAGUACACUAUUUAAAGGUCACACAUUUUCACAUAUAAUGUACAUACACUUUAACGAAAAAAAUAAAGCUAAUUUGGACAUUUUUAAUGGCAUAGAUUUAAGCUUAUUUAAAUUUAUUCGGGACUAUUUAUCACUCAUAAACAUAUUGUAUAUCUAAACCAUUAAUAAAGUAUGUAUAUGCAAAUUUGUAAUGCUUAAAUAAAUUGAAAA